AUCAAGACAGUUUUCCUGAAGCCUAUGUUCUAGGUGAGUGUGAGGUGCUAAUAUAUUCCACGUACUUUGGGAGUUAGGUAGUAAACCAAUAGGGAUUGUUUUCUUUCCUAAGAAUUUGCACCACUACUGCAUCACCUACCAACCUUUUAGAUAGCACAAAAUGUGAAUACAUAUGCUUACAGAUUCAUGGUAUUUCAACUGGGAGAAACAAUGGAUGUAAAGUUAAUCUUCUAUAUACUACUUGGUCUACAUUUAAAGGGAAAAACAAGCAGAAUUUGAAGAACCCAAUUUCUGUCAUUGUUUUAUUUCAGAUAUAAGUAACUGGAAAGAAACUUUUAACCUUUGAUGUCUGUU
rnacentral:lncRNA from 1 species